rnacentral:rRNA from 1 species
ACGCUGGCGGCAUGCUUUACACAUGCAAGUCGGACGGCAGCACAGAGAAGCUUGCUUCUUGGGUGGCGAGUGGCGAACGGGUGAGUAACAUAUCGGAACGUACCGAGUAAUGGGGGAUAACUAAUCGAAAGAUUAGCUAAUACCGCAUAUUCUCUGAGGAGGAAAGCAGGGGACCUUCGGGCCUUGCGUUAUUCGAGCGGCCGAUAUCUGAUUAGCUAGUUGGUGGGGUAAAGGCCUACCAAGGCGACGAUCAGUAGCGGGUCUGAGAGGAUGAUCCGCCACACUGGGACUGAGACACGGCCCAGACUCCUACGGGAGGCAGCAGUGGGGAAUUUUGGACAAUGGGCGCAAGCCUGAUCCAGCCAUGCCGCGUGUCUGAAGAAGGCCUUCGGGUUGUAAAGGACUUUUGUCAGGGAAGAAAAGGCUGUCGCUAAUACCGACAGUUGAUGACGGUACCUGAAGAAUAAGCACCGGCUAACUACGUGCCAGCAGCCGCGGUAAUACGUAGGGUGCGAGCGUUAAUCGGAAUUACUGGGCGUAAAGCGAGCGCAGACGGUUACUUAAGCAGGAUGUGAAAUCCCCGGGCUUAACCUGGGAACUGCGUUCUGAACUGGGUGACUAGAGUGUGUCAGAGGGAGGUAGAAUUCCACGUGUAGCAGUGAAAUGCGUAGAGAUGUGGAGGAAUACCGAUGGCGAAGGCAGCCUCCUGGGAUGACACUGACGUUCAUGCUCGAAAGCGUGGGUAGCAAACAGGAUUAGAUACCCUGGUAGUCCACGCCCUAAACGAUGUCAAUUAGCUGUUGGGCAACUUGAUUGCUUAGUAGCGUAGCUAACGCGUGAAAUUGACCGCCUGGGGAGUACGGUCGCAAGAUUAAAACUCAAAGGAAUUGACGGGGACCCGCACAAGCGG